rnacentral:misc_RNA from 1 species
GAUGAAGAACGUAGCGAAAUGCGAUAAGUAAUGCGAAUUGCAGAAUUCAGUGAGUCAUCGAAUCUUUGAACGCACAUUGCGCCCUGUGGUAUUCCAUGGGGCAUGCCUGUUCGAGCGUCAUUUGUACCUUCAAGCUUUGCUUGGUGUUGGGUGUUUGUCUCGCCUUUGCGUGUAGACUCGCCUUAAAAUAAUUGGCAGCCGGCGUAUUGAUUUCGGAGCGCAGUACAUCUCGCGCUUUGCACUCAUAACGACAGCGUCCAAAAGUACAUUUUACACUCUUGACCUCGGAUCAGGUAGGGAUACCCGCUGAACUUAAGCAUAUCAAUAAGCGGAGGA